rnacentral:rRNA from 1 species
CGACAAGCUAGUUAAGGGCGUAUGGGGGAUGCCUAGGCUCUCAGAGGCGAUGAAGGACGUGAUAAGCUGCGAAAAGCUGCGGGGAUUGGCACAUACGAUAUGAUCCGCAGAUGUCCGAAUGGGGCAACCCAUCACGUUGAAGGCGUGAUAUCNNGUAGCCGGAGGAGGAGAAAACAAUAGUGAUUCCGUGAGUAGUGGCGAGCGAAAGCGGAAGAGCCCAAACCAUUGUUGUUUCGGCAAUAAUGGGGUUGUAGGACCACGAUAUUCGAUGCAUAAUGAACCGGAACCAUCUGGAAAGUUGGACCAAAGGGGGUGAUAGUCCCGUAUGGGUAAGUUGAUGUUAUUGAUAGUGGUAUCCUGAGUAGCGCGGGGCACGUGAAACCCUGUGUGAAUCUGGCGGGACCAUCCGCCAAGGCUAAAUACUCCUGAGAGACCGAUAGUGAACCAGUACCGUGAGGGAAAGGUGAAAAGAACCCCGAACAGGGGAGUGAAAGAGAACCUGAAACCAUACGCUUACAAGCGGUCGGAGCUGUGCUUGCACAGUGACGGCGUGCCUUUUGCAUAAUGAGCCUACGAGUUACCGUUACUAGCGAGGUUAAGCCCUUCAGGGGCGGAGCCGGAGCGAAAGCGAGUCUGAAUAGGGCGCUAUAGUUAGUAGUGGUAGACGCGAAACCGUGUGAUCUACCCAUGGGCAGGUUGAAGCUGUGGUAACACAUAGUGGAGGACCGAACCCGUUGACGUUGAAAAGUCUUGGGAUGACCUGUGGGUAGGGGUGAAAGGCCAAUCAAACUCGGAAAUAGCUCGUACUCCCCGAAAUGCAUUUAGGUGCAGCGUUGAUUAAGAGUUUUAUAGAGGUAGAGCUACUGAUUGGAUGCGGGGGCUUCACCGCCUACCAAUUCCUGACAAACUCCGAAUGCUAUAAAAUGUUUAUCAGCAGUGAGGGCAUGGGUGCUAAGGUCCAUGUCCGAGAGGGAAACAACCCGGACCAUCAGCUAAGGUCCCCAAGUGUGUACUAAGUUGAUAAAACGCGGUGGAACUGCAUAGACAGCUAGGAUGUUGGCUUGGAAGCAGCCAUUCAUUUAAAGAGUGCGUAACAGCUCACUAGUCGAGCGGUUGGGCAUGGAUAAUAAUCGGGCAUAAGUAUACCACCGAAGCUAUGUAUUGUCGUUGAAGGAGAGCUGUGAGGCUUUCUGGAGGUUAUACAAACGAAAAUGUAGGCAUAAGUAACGAUAAUGUGGGCGAGAAACCCACACGCCAAAAGACCAAGGUUUCCCCGGCCAUGCUAAUCAGCCGGGGGUCAGUCGGGACCUAACGCGAACCCGAAGGGGAUAGUGGAUGGACAAGCGGUUAAUAUUCCGCUACCCGCACAGUGACAAAAGUGACGGAGGACAGGAGUUGGUGCGUGCUGACGGAAUAGCACGUUGAACCUGGGGUAACCCGGGGAUAGUACACCAAGGCUACGGCUGCGGUGAUAAUCCAGCGUAUGUUCUUCCAAGAAAAGCGAACUGUGCGGCCCGUACCGUAAACCGACACAGGUGGUUGGGAUGAGUAUUCUAAGGCGCUCGAGAGAUUCAUGGCUAAGGAACUAGGCAAAAUAGACCUGUAACUUCGGGAGAAAGGUCGCCCUCCUCCGGGAGGGCCGCAGUGAAGAGGUCCAGGCGACUGUUUAUCAAAAACACAGGGCUCUGCUAAAUCGAAAGAUGACGUAUAGGGCCUGACACCUGCCCGGUGCCGGAAGGUUAAGGGGAGAUGUUAUCCUUUUAGGUGAAGCAUUGAACUGAAGCCCCGGUAAACGGCGGCCGUAACUAUAACGGUCCUAAGGUAGCGA